rnacentral:rRNA from 1 species
AGAUCCUGAAACCGUGUGCCUACAAAUAGUCAGAGCCCGUUAAUGGGUGAUGGCGUGCCUUUUGUAGAAUGAACCGGCGAGUUACGAUCCCGUGCAAGGUUAAGCUGAAGAGGCGGAGCCGCAGCGAAAGCGAGUCUGAAUAGGGCGUUUAGUACGUGGUCGUAGACCCGAAACCAGGUGAUCUACCCAUGUCCAGGGUGAAGUUCAGGUAACACUGAAUGGAGGCCCGAACCCACGCACGUUGAAAAGUGCGGGGAUGAGGUGUGGGUAGCGGAGAAAUUCCAAUCGAACCUGGAGAUAGCUGGUUCUCCCCGAAAUAGCUUUAGGGCUAGCCUUAAGUGUAAGAGUCUUGGAGGUAGAGCACUGAUUGAACUAGGGGUCCUCAUCGGAUUACCGAAUUCAGUCAAACUCCGAAUGCCAAUGACUUAUCCUUAGGAGUCAGACUGCGAGUGAUAAGAUCCGUAGUCAAGAGGGAAACAGCCCAGAUCGCCAGCUAAGGUCCCAAAGUGUGUAUUAAGUGGAAAAGGAUGUGGAGUUGCUUAGACAACUAGGAUGUUGGCUCAGAAGCAGCCACCAUUUAAAGAGUGCGUAAUAGCUCACUAGUCGAGUGACUCUGCGCCGAAAAUGUACCGGGGCUAAAUACACCACCGAAGCUGCGAAUUGAUACCAAUGGUAUCAGUGGUAGGGGAGCGUUCUAAGUGCAGUGAAGUCAGACCGGAAGGACUGGUGGAGCGCUUAGAAGUGAGAAUGCCGGUAUGAGUAGCGAAAGACGGGUGAGAAUCCCGUCCACCGAAUGCCUAAGGUUUCCUGAGGAAGGCUCGUCCGCUCAGGGUUAGUCAGGACCUAAGCCGAGGCCGACAGGCGUAGGCGAUGGACAACAGGUUGAUAUUCCUGUACCACCUCUUUAUCGUUUGAGCAAUGGAGGGACGCAGAAGGAUAGAAGAAGCGUGCGAUUGGUUGUGCACGUCCAAGCAGUUAGGCUGAUAAGUAGGCAAAUCCGCUUAUCGUGAAGGCUGAGCUGUGAUGGGGAAGCUCCUUAUGGAGCGAAGUCUUUGAUUCCCCGCUGCCAAGAAAAGCUUCUAGCGAGAUAAAAGGUGCCUGUACCGCAAACCGACACAGGUAGGCGAGGAGAGAAUCCUAAGGUGUGCGAGAGAACUCUGGUUAAGGAACUCGGCAAAAUGACCCCGUAACUUCGGGAGAAGGGGUGCUUUCUUAACGGAAAGCCGCAGUGAAUAGGCCCAAGCGACUGUUUAGCAAAAACACAGGUCUCUGCGAAGCCGUAAGGCGAAGUAUAGGGGCUGACACCUGCCCGGUGCUGGAAGGUUAAGGAGAGGGGUUAGCGUAAGCGAAGCUCUGAACUGAAGCCCCAGUAAACGGCGGCCGUAACUAUAACGGUCCUAAGGUAGCGAAAUUCCUUGUCGGGUAAGUUCCGACCCGCACGAAAGGUGUAACGAUUUGGGCACUGUCUCAACCAGAGACUCGGUGAAAUUAUAGUACCUGUGAAGAUGCAGGUUACCCGCGACAGGACGGAAAGACCCCGUGGAGCUUUACUGUAGCCUGAUAUUGAAUUUUGGUACAGUUUGUACAGGAUAGGCGGGAGCCAUUGAAACCGGAGCGCUAGCUUCGGUGGAGGCGCUGGUGGGAUACCGCCCUGACUGUAUUGAAAUUCUAACCUACGGGUCUCAUCGACCCGGGAGACAGUGUCAGGUGGGCAGUUUGACUGGGGCGGUCGCCUCCUAAAGUGUAACGGAGGCGCCCAAAGGUUCCCUCAGAAUGGUUGGAAAUCAUUCGUAGAGUGCAAAGGCAUAAGGGAGCUUGACUGCGAGACCUACAAGUCGAGCAGGGACGAAAGUCGGGCUUAGUGAUCCGGUGGUUCCGCAUGGAAGGGCCAUCGCUCAACGGAUAAAAGCUACCCCGGGGAUAACAGGCUUAUCUCCCCCAAGAGUCCACAUCGACGGGGAGGUUUGGCACCUCGAUGUCGGCUCAUCGCAUCCUGGGGCUGUAGUCGGUCCCAAGGGUUGGGCUGUUCGCCCAUUAAAGCGGUACGCGAGCUGGGUUCAGAACGUCGUGAGACAGUUCGGUCCCUAUCCGUCGUGGGCGCAGGAAAUUUGAGAGGAGCUGUCCUUAGUACGAGAGGACCGGGAUGGACGCACCGCUGGUGUACCAGUUGUUCUGCCAAGGGCAUAGCUGGGUAGCUAUGUGCGGAAGGGAUAAGUGCUGAAAGCAUCUAAGCAUGAAGCCCCCCUCAAGAUGAGAUUUCCCAUAGCGUAAGCUAGUAAGAUCCCUGAAAGAUGAUCAGGUUGAUAGGUUCGAGGUGGAAGCAUGGUGACAUGUGGAGCUGACGAAUACUAAUAGAUCGAGGACUUAACCAU